rnacentral:rRNA from 1 species
UACGGGGGGAGCAAGCGUUGUUCGGAUUUACUGGGCGUAAAGGGCGCGUAGGCGGCCUCCGCAAGUCAGUUGUGAAAUCUCCGAGCUUAACUCGGAAAGGUCAACUGAUACUGCGGGGCUAGAGUGCGGAAGGGGCAACUGGAAUUCUUGGUGUAGCGGUGAAAUGCGUAGAUAUGUGGAGGAACACCAGUGGCGAAGGCGGCUCUCUGGUCUGCAACUGACGCUGAGGCGCGAAAGCGUGGAUAGCAAACAGG